rnacentral:rRNA from 1 species
GAACUCUGGUAUUGAUUGGUGCUUGCAUCAUGAUUUACAUUUGAGUGAGUGGCGAACUGGUGAGUAACACGUGGGAAACCUGCCCAGAAGCGGGGGAUAACACCUGGAAACAGAUGCUAAUACCGCAUAACAACUUGGACCGCAUGGUCCGAGCUUGAAAGAUGGCUUCGGCUAUCACUUUUGGAUGGUCCCGCGGCGUAUUAGCUAGAUGGUGGGGUAACGGCUCACCAUGGCAAUGAUACGUAGCCGACCUGAGAGGGUAAUCGGCCACAUUGGGACUGAGACACGGCCCAAACUCCUACGGGAGGCAGCAGUAGGGAAUCUUCCACAAUGGACGAAAGUCUGAUGGAGCAACGCCGCGUGAGUGAAGAAGGGUUUCGGCUCGUAAAACUCUGUUGUUAAAGAAGAACAUAUCUGAGAGUAACUGUUCAGGUAUUGACGGUAUUUAACCAGAAAGCCACGGCUAACUACGUGCCAGCAGCCGCGGUAAUACGUAGGUGGCAAGCGUUGUCCGGAUUUAUUGGGCGUAAAGCGAGCGCAGGCGGUUUUUUAAGUCUGAUGUGAAAGCCUUCGGCUCAACCGAAGAAGUGCAUCGGAAACUGGGAAACUUGAGUGCAGAAGAGGACAGUGGAACUCCAUGUGUAGCGGUGAAAUGCGUAGAUAUAUGGAAGAACACCAGUGGCGAAGGCGGCUGUCUGGUCUGUAACUGACGCUGAGGCUCGAAAGUAUGGGUAGCAAACAGGAUUAGAUACCCUGGUAGUCCAUACCGUAAACGAUGAAUGCUAAGUGUUGGAGGGUUUCCGCCCUUCAGUGCUGCAGCUAACGCAUUAAGCAUUCCGCCUGGGGAGUACGGCCGCAAGGCUGAAACUCAAAGGAAUUGACGGGGGCCCGCACAAGCGGUGGAGCAUGUGGUUUAAUUCGAAGCUACGCGAAGAACCUUACCAGGUCUUGACAUACUAUGCAAAUCUAAGAGAUUAGACGUUCCCUUCGGGGACAUGGAUACAGGUGGUGCAUGGUUGUCGUCAGCUCGUGUCGUGAGAUGUUGGGUUAAGUCCCGCAACGAGCGCAACCCUUAUUAUCAGUUGCCAGCAUUAAGUUGGGCACUCUGGUGAGACUGCCGGUGACAAACCGGAGGAAGGUGGGGAUGACGUCAAAUCAUCAUGCCCCUUAUGACCUGGGCUACACACGUGCUACAAUGGAUGGUACAACGAGUUGCGAACUCGCGAGAGUAAGCUAAUCUCUUAAAGCCAUUCUCAGUUCGGAUUGUAGGCUGCAACUCGCCUACAUGAAGUCGGAAUCGCUAGUAAUCGCGGAUCAGCAUGCCGCGGUGAAUACGUUCCCGGGCCUUGUACACACCGCCCGUCACACCAUGAGAGUUUGUAACACCCAAAGUCGGUGGGGUAACCUAUUAGGAA